GCGGACGUAGUGUAGUUGGUUAUCACUUAGCCUUGCCAAGGCUAGAACUCGGGUUCGAGUCCCGGCAUCCGCA
rnacentral:tRNA from 1 species